rnacentral:rRNA from 1 species
GAUAAACGCUGGCGGCGUGCCUAAUACAUGCAAGUCGAUCGAUGGAUGCCCAGCUUGCUGGGAGGAAAUAGAGGCGAACGGGUGAGUAAUACGUAAGCAACCUGCCCACGAAGACCGGGAUAAUCCCUGGAAACGGGGACUAAGACCGGAUAGGUAACAGAACCGCAUGAUUUUGUUAUUAAAGGUUAAAAACACUGGUGGAUGGGCUUACGAUGCAUUAGCUAGUUGGUGAGGUAACGGCCCACCAAGGCGAUGAUGCAUAGCUGGUCUGAGAGGAUGAACAGCCACAUUGGGACUGAGACACGGCCCAGACUCCUACGGGAGGCAGCAGUAGGGAAUUUUCGGCAAUGGGGGAAACCCUGACCGAGCAACGCCGCGUGAGUGAAGAAGGUCUUCGGAUUGUAAAGCUCUGUUGUAAGGGAAGAAAUGUACUUUGAGAAAAAGUACUUGACGGUACCUUACCAGAAAGCUACGGCUAACUACGUGCCAGCAGCCGCGGUAAUACGUAGGUAGCGAGCGUUAUCCGGAAUUAUUGGGCGUAAAGGGUGCGUAGGCGGCCAUUUAAGUUCAUGGUGAAAGCGUGGGGCUCAACCCCAUAAAGCCAUGGAUACUGGAUGGCUGGAGUACUGGAGAGGGUAGUG